rnacentral:rRNA from 1 species
AGAGUUUGAUCAUGGCUCAGAUUGAACGCUGGCGGCAGGCCUAACACAUGCAAGUCGAACGGUAACAGGAAGCAGCUUGCUGCUUUGCUGACGAGUGGCGGACGGGUGAGUAAUGUCUGGGAAACUGCCUGAUGGAGGGGGAUAACUACUGGAAACGGUGGCUAAUACCGCAUAACGUCGCAAGACCAAAGAGGGGGACCUUCGGGCCUCUUGCCAUCAGAUGUGCCCAGAUGGGAUUAGCUUGUUGGUGAGGUAACGGCUCACCAAGGCGACGAUCCCUAGCUGGUCUGAGAGGAUGACCAGCCACACUGGAACUGAGACACGGUCCAGACUCCUACGGGAGGCAGCAGUGGGGAAUAUUGCACAAUGGGCGCAAGCCUGAUGCAGCCAUGCCGCGUGUAUGAAGAAGGCCUUCGGGUUGUAAAGUACUUUCAGCGGGGAGGAAGGUGUUGUGGUUAAUAACCGCAGCAAUUGACGUUACCCGCAGAAGAAGCACCGGCUAACUCCGUGCCAGCAGCCGCGGUAAUACGGAGGGUGCAAGCGUUAAUCGGAAUUACUGGGCGUAAAGCGCACGCAGGCGGUCUGUCAAGUCGGAUGUGAAAUCCCCGGGCUCAACCUGGGAACUGCAUUCGAAACUGGCAGGCUUGAGUCUUGUAGAGGGGGGUAGAAUUCCAGGUGUAGCGGUGAAAUGCGUAGAGAUCUGGAGGAAUACCGGUGGCGAAGGCGGCCCCCUGGACAAAGACUGACGCUCAGGUGCGAAAGCGUGGGGAGCAAACAGGAUUAGAUACCCUGGUAGUCCACGCCGUAAACGAUGUCUACUUGGAGGUUGUGCCCUUGAGGCGUGGCUUCCGGAGCUAACGCGUUAAGUAGACCGCCUGGGGAGUACGGCCGCAAGGUUAAAACUCAAAUGAAUUGACGGGGGCCCGCACAAGCGGUGGAGCAUGUGGUUUAAUUCGAUGCAACGCGAAGAACCUUACCUGGUCUUGACAUCCACAGAACUUUCCAGAGAUGGAUUGGUGCCUUCGGGAACUGUGAGACAGGUGCUGCAUGGCUGUCGUCAGCUCGUGUUGUGAAAUGUUGGGUUAAGUCCCGCAACGAGCGCAACCCUUAUCCUUUGUUGCCAGCGAUUAGGUCGGGAACUCAAAGGAGACUGCCAGUGAUAAACUGGAGGAAGGUGGGGAUGACGUCAAGUCAUCAUGGCCCUUACGACCAGGGCUACACACGUGCUACAAUGGCGCAUACAAAGAGAAGCGACCUCGCGAGAGCAAGCGGACCUCAUAAAGUGCGUCGUAGUCCGGAUUGGAGUCUGCAACUCGACUCCAUGAAGUCGGAAUCGCUAGUAAUCGUGGAUCAGAAUGCCACGGUGAAUACGUUCCCGGGCCUUGUACACACCGCCCGUCACACCAUGGGAGUGGGUUGCAAAAAGAAGUAGGUAGCUUAACCUUCGGGAGGGCGCUUACCACUUUGUGAUUCAUGACUGGGGUGAAGUCGUAACAAGGUAACCGUAGGGGAACCUGCGGUUGGAUCACCU